rnacentral:misc_RNA from 1 species
AAGUCGUAACAAGGUUUCCGUAGGUGAACCUGCGGAAGGAUCAUUAUCGAAACAAAACCUGUGAGGCCACGCUCGGGCUGUCGCUGACUCAAGAAGUCGUGCACGCCCGAGGGUGUCCUCGCAUAAUAAUCCAUCUCACCCUUUGUGCACCACCGCGUGGGCGCACCCUUCGGGAUCGGUCCGAUCUUGGAAGGGGGCUCACGUUUUCACACAAACCCCCCCAACCUAAAAGUGUAGAAUGACCUCAUAUAUGCAAAAUAAAUACAACUUUCAACAACGGAUCUCUUGGCUCUC